rnacentral:pre_miRNA from 1 species
UCCAAAUGAUACUUCUUCUAACAUUGCUGCACUGUUGGCCAACAUUGCUGCACUGUUGGCAACAUUGCUACACUGUUGGCAACAGUGCAGCAAUGUUAGAAGAAGUAUCAUUUGGAA